UGCGUAGGCGGAUUUAUAAGUCAGUGGUGAAAUCCUACAGCUUAACUGUAGAACUGCCAUUGAUACUGUAGAUCUUGAGUACGGUUGAGGUGGGCGGAAUGUGUCAUGUAGCGGUGAAAUGCUUAGAUAUGACACAGAACACCAAUUGCGAAGGCAGCUCGCUAAACCGUAACUGACGCUGAGGCACGAAGGCGUGGGGAGCGAACAGGAUUAGAUACCCUGGUAGUCC
rnacentral:rRNA from 1 species